AACCCUAUAAUACUAUGAAUAUGGAUUGAGGUAAUUAACAAAUGUUCUAUUAUCAAAGAACUUAUCCACAUAUUCAAAAGGUGAUUCAUGGUCAGAAAGCAAUCUUAGUAGGGUUUUUUAUAUUUUGUUCAGAAAGCAAAGUUACUGUAAAUAUAUCAAUUAUUGUGAGGUACUCCUGGGGUAUUGUGAGGUACUCCUGGGGUAUUGCAAUGAUAAAGAGCGUGCAUUUUGUAAUCUGGUACAUAUUUCUGUAUGCGGUGUUAUUUAAAAUUGCAAUAAUUGAACUUGCAUUUUUGUUCAUUUUUCAUCAAUCUCAUUAAUUUCUGAAUUUAGUUACAUUGAAAAGUACCCUUAAUUUAUACUUUUCCCAUGAUCAUAAGAGAGGUGUAUCAUAUGAGGGGGGAUAGGAGGGGUCCUGAUCCAGAAAUCCCAUGCCUCAAAACCUGAAAUCUCGAAAUCCUGGGCUUAAAAACAUGAAAAUCUGAGGUCCCGAAAUUCGAAAAAAAGAAUUCCCGGAUCCUGAAAGGGUCAACCCCGAAAAAUCCCACGCUUGAAAACACCCGAUCCCGGAGUCCCGAUAAAGGUCCUAUUCCCCUAUUCAUAUGAAAUGCAUUUUGAAAGUGAGAAAAAGAAGACAACUCCAUAUUAUAAGGUAUAUUCCAUUGUAACUUCAUGUCAAUUUUCCUUCAUGACCAGGCAAUACGUGAAGAAUAAUAAUUCACUUCAUGAUGUACACCAAUGAAUUUGUGAAAUAUCAAAUAUAAAUAUGAGUAGCUUUUUGUUAGUUGAAUCAUAUUUCAUAAAUUGCAUGAUUGAUAUAUGGAAAGCUACAUAAGAAAA
rnacentral:lncRNA from 1 species